rnacentral:rRNA from 1 species
AGCCAGACUCCUACGGGAGGCAGCAGUGGGGAAUAUUGCACAAUGGGGGAAACCCUGAUGCAGCGACGCCGCGUGGGUGAGGAAGUACCCCGGUAUGUAAAGCCCUUUCGGCAGGGAAGAAAAUGACGGUACCUGGCGAAGAAGCCCCGGCUAACUACGUGCCAGCAGCCGCGGUAAUACGUAGGGGGCAAGCGUUAUCCGGAUUUACUGGGUGUAAAGGGGGCGCAGACGGCGAUGCAAGCCAGGAGUGAAAGCCCGGGGCCCAACCCCGGGACUGCUCUUGGAACUGCGUGGCUAGAGUGCAGGAGGGGCAGGCGGAAUUCCUGGUGUAGCGGUGAAAUGCGUAGAUAUCAGGAGGAACACCGGUGGCGAAGGCGGCCUGCUGGACUGCAACUGACGUUGAGGCCCGAAAGCGUGGGGAGCAAACAGGAUUAGAUACCCCUGUA